rnacentral:lncRNA from 1 species
AAAAUGGAUUGGACACGCAGAUUGAAAAAGAAAGGUGUCAAGGACGAUUCCAAACUCUCCAGGUCAAAUAACCAGAUGGGUCCUGGUAUGGUGCACUGAGAGGGAGCUCUGGAAGCGAGCCACGUGCAGGGGGACAGAUCACGAGUUUGACCUGGAAGUCGCUGGGUAGCAAUUUCUUGUACAGCUGCAGUCAGCCACUGCGGUGGCAACAACCCACUGAGGCACCGAAUUAAACAAAAAAGGGUUGAGGUUAUGAAAGGAGAGGUUCCAGCUAGAGUUCAAGAAAGUCUUCCAGACCUGCCUGCAGAGAAUUAAACCCAGACACUGUGAAGUGCCCGUCCCAUCCUUCAAGAACCAGCUCAGAUGCCUCCUCUCUGGGAAGCCUUUCCUGCGCCCCCAAGGCUGUUGCUCACUGGAGAGCCCUGAGAGCAGGCAUUAUACUGCAUCCCAUUUGUAUAUUUUGUAUCCCUUUCUAUCUCAUAAAUGGGGCAGGAAUUCAAUCAAGACCUGAGUCAAUUUAUUUUAUUUAUACUGAG